GACGAACGCUGGCGGCGUGCCUAAUACAUGCAAGUCGAACGCUGAAGCGAGGAGCUUGCUCUUCUUGGAUGAGUUGCGAACGGGUGAGUAACGCGUAGAUAACCUGCCUGUUAGCGUGGGAUAACUAUUGGAAACGAUAGCUAAUACCGCAUAAUAUUGUUUAUUGCAUGAUAAUUAAUUGAAAGAUGCAACUGCAUCACUACCAGAUGGACUUGCGUUUUAUUAGCUAGUUGGUGAGGUAACGGCUCACCAAAGCGACGAUACCUAGCCGACCUGAGAGGGUGGUCGGCCACACUGGGAAUGGGACACGGCUCAGACUCCUUCGGGAGGCAGCAGUAAGGGAUCUUCGGCAAUGGGGGGAAACCUGACCGAGCAACGCCGCGUGAGUGAAGAAGGUUCUCGGAUCGGAAAGCUUCGGUGUAAGGGAAGAACGGGUGUGAGAGUGGAAAGUUCACACUGUGACGGUACCUUAUCAGAAAGGGACGGCUAACUACGUG
rnacentral:rRNA from 1 species